UGGCGCGUGCUACCAUGCAGUCGAACGAUGAUAGCCCAGCUUGCUGGGUGGAUUAGUGGCGAACGGGUGAGUAACACGUGAGUAACCUGCCCCUGACUCUGGGAUAAGCGUUGGAAACGACGUCUAAUACUGGAUAUGACUGCCGGCCGCAUGGUCUGGUGGUGGAAAGAUUUUUUGGUUGGGGAUGGACUCGCGGCCUAUCAGCUUGUUGGUGAGGUAAUGGCUCACCAAGGCGACGACGGGUAGCCGGCCUGAGAGGGUGACCGGCCACACUGGGACUGAGACACGGCCCAGACUCCUACGGGAGGCAGCAGUGGGGAAUAUUGCACAAUGGGCGAAAGCCUGAUGCAGCAACGCCGCGUGAGGGAUGACGGCCUUCGGGUUGUAAACCUCUUUUAGUAGGGAAGAAGCGUAAGUGACGGUACCUGCAGAAAAAGCACCGGCUAACUACGUGCCAGCAGCCGCGGUAAUACGUAGGGUGCAAGCGUUGUCCGGAAUUAUUGGGCGUAAAGAGCUCGUAGGCGGUUUGUCGCGCUGCUGUGAAAUCCCGAGGCUCAACCUCGGGCUUGCAGUGGGUACGGGCAGACUAGAGUGCGGUAGGGGAGAUUGGAAUUCCUGGUGUAGCGGUGGAAUGCGCAGAUAUCAGGAGGAACACCGAUGGCGAAGGCAGAUCUCUGGGCCGUAACUGACGCUGAGGAGCGAAAGCGUGGGGAGCGAACAGGAUUAGAUACCCUGGUAGUCCACGCCGUAAACGUUGGGCGCUAGAUGUAGGGACCUUUCCACGGUUUCUGUGUCGUAGCUAACGCAUUAAGCGCCCCGCCUGGGGAGUACGGCCGCAAGGCUAAAACUCAAAGGAAUUGACGGGGGCCCGCACAAGCGGCGGAGCAUGCGGAUUAAUUCGAUGCAACGCGAAGAACCUUACCAAGGCUUGACAUACACCGGAAACGGCCAGAGAUGGUUGCCCCCUUGUGGUCGGUGUACAGGUGGUGCAUGGUUGUCGUCAGCUCGUGUCGUGAGAUGUUGGGUUAAGUCCCGCAACGAGCGCAACCCUCGUUCUAUGUUGCCAGCGCGUUAUGGCGGGGACUCAUAGGAGACUGCCGGGGUCAACUCGGAGGAAGGUGGGGAUGACGUCAAAUCAUCAUGCCCCUUAUGUCUUGGGCUUCACGCAUGCUACAAUGGCCGGUACAAAGGGCUGCGAUACCGUAAGGUGGAGCGAAUCCCAAAAAGCCGGUCUCAGUUCGGAUUGAGGUCUGCAACUCGACCUCAUGAAGUCGGAGUCGCUAGUAAUCGCAGAUCAGCAACGCUGCGGUGAAUACGUUCCCGGGCCUUGUACACACCGCCCGUCAAGUCAUGAAAGUCGGUAACACCCGAAGCCGGUGGCCUAACCCUUGUGGAAGGAGCCGUCGAAGGUGGGAUCGGUGAUUAGGACUAAGUCGUAACAAGGUAACCGUA
rnacentral:rRNA from 1 species